UACGAAGGAUCCAAGCGUUGUCCGGAUUUACUGGGUUUAAAGGGUGCGUAGGCGGGCAGGUAAGUCCGUGGUGAAAUCUCUGAGCUUAACUCAGAAACUGCCAUGGAUACUAUCUGUCUUGAAUAUUGUGGAGGUAAGCGGAAUAUGUCAUGUAGCGGUGAAAUGCUUAGAUAUGACAUAGAACACCAAUUGCGAAGGCAGCUUACUACACAGUUAUUGACGCUGAGGCACGAAAGCGUGGGGAUCAAACAGG
rnacentral:rRNA from 1 species